UGGACUUUUUAGCAUGUUUCACGCAUCAUGAAUGCCAUGAGAUGUACUAGGUUGUUUGCAUUAGAAUUCACGAAUAUGUUGCAUUGCAUACUUUAUUGUUGAUUGAUGUGGAUGAACGUUGGAUGAUCCAAAGCCCUCGAUCUAUGAUAUGACGAUGUGAUAUGUACGGUACGGAAUGUAAGACCAGUGGGACCCAUUCUACGUCCGCUGGCACCAUGUAAGGGAAAGACCAGGACCCAUUCUACGUUCUGGCACAGUUGGACUGUUACGUUAUGCUAUGUUAUGUAAG
rnacentral:lncRNA from 1 species